AGAGUUUGAUCCUGGCUCAGGACGAACGCUGGCGGCGUGCCUAAUACAUGCAAGUCGAGCGAAUCUGAGGGAGCUUGCUCCCAAAGAUUAGCGGCGGACGGGUGAGUAACACGUGGGUAACCUGCCUGUAAGAUUGGGAUAACUCCGGGAAACCGGAGCUAAUACCGGAUAACAUUUUGAACCGCAUGGUUCAAAAUUGAAAGACGGCUUUGGCUGUCACUUACAGAUGGACCCGCGGCGCAUUAGCUAGUUGGUGAGGUAACGGCUCACCAAGGCAACGAUGCGUAGCCGACCUGAGAGGGUGAUCGGCCACACUGGGACUGAGACACGGCCCAGACUCCUACGGGAGGCAGCAGUAGGGAAUCUUCCGCAAUGGACGAAAGUCUGACGGAGCAACGCCGCGUGAACGAUGAAGGCCUUCGGGUCGUAAAGUUCUGUUGUUAGGGAAGAACAAGUACCAGAGUAACUGCUGGUACCUUGACGGUACCUAACCAGAAAGCCACGGCUAACUACGUG
rnacentral:rRNA from 1 species